UACGUAGGGUGCAAGCGUUAAUCGGAAUUACUGGGCGUAAGCGCACGUAGGCGGCUUUGUAAGUUAGAGGUGAAAGCCCGGGGCUCAACUCCGGAAUUGCCUUUAAGACUGCAUCGCUAGAAUUGUGGAGAGGUAAGUGGAAUUCCGAGUGUAGAGGUGAAAUUCGUAGAUAUUCGGAAGAACACCAGUGGCGAAGGCGACUUACUGGACACAUAUUGACGCUGAGGUGCGAAAGCGUGGGGAGCAAACAGG
rnacentral:rRNA from 1 species